rnacentral:rRNA from 1 species
AGCGAACGCUGGCGGCAGGCUUAACACAUGCAAGUCGAGCGGGCCCUUCGGGGUCAGCGGCCGACGGGUGAGUAACGCGUGGGAACGUGCCCUUCGGUUCGGCAUAACUCAGGGACACUUGAGCUAAUACCGGAUACGCCCUUAUGGGGGAAGGCUUGCUGCCGAAGGAUCGGCCCGCGUCUGAUUAGCUAGUUGGUGAGGUUAUGGCUCACCAAGGCGACGAUCAGUAGCUGGUCUGAGAGGAUGAUCAGCCACACUGGGACUGAGACACGGCCCAGACUCCUCCGGGAGGCAGCAGUGGGGAAUAGUGGAAAAUGGGGGCAACCCUGAUCCAGCCAUGCCGCGUGAGUGAUGACGGCCUUAGGGUUGUAAAGCUCUUUUCUCCGGGACGAUAAUGACGGUACCGGAGGAAUAAGCCCCGGCUAACUUCGUG